rnacentral:rRNA from 1 species
UACGUAGGGUGCGAGCGUUGUCCGGAAUUAUUGGGCGUAAAGGGCUCGUAGGCGGUUUGUCGCGUCGGGAGUGAAAUCCACUGGCUUAACUGGUGGCUUGCUUUCGAUACGGGCAGACUGGAGGUAUGCAGGGGAGAACGGAAUUCCUGGUGUAGCGGUGAAAUGCGCAGAUAUCAGGAAGAAUACCCGUGGCGAAGGCGGCUCUCUGGGACGGUACUGACGCUGAGACGCGAAAGCGUGGGGAGCGAACAGG